rnacentral:rRNA from 1 species
GAAGGUCUUCGGAUCGUAAAGUUCUGUUGUUAGGGAAGAACACGUACCAUUCGAAUAGGAUGGUACCUUGACGGUACCUAACGAGGAAGCCCCGGCUAACUACGUGCCAGCAGCCGCGGUAAUACGUAGGGGGCAAGCGUUGUCCGGAAUUAUUGGGCGUAAAGCGCGCGCAGGCGGUUCCUUAAGUCUGAUGUGAAAGCCCACGGCUUAACCGUGGAGGGUCAUUGGAAACUGGGGAACUUGAGUGCAGAAGAGGAGAGUGGAAUUCCACGUGUAGCGGUGAAAUGCGUAGAUAUGUGGAGGAACACCAGUGGCGAAGGCGACUCUCUGGUCUGUAACUGACGCUGAGGCGCGAAAGCGUGGGGAGCGAACAGGAUUAGAUACG